AAGGAUCAUUAUCGAGUUCCUGCCCUGACGGGUAGAAACCCCACCCUAUGCUUAUCAUACCUGUUUCUUUGGCGGGCCGCCCCCGGGCGCCGGCUCAGGCUGGAGAGCGCCUGCCAGAGACCCCCAACCAACCUAUAUAACGUUUUGUCUGAGCACUAUUCAAUAGUUAAAACUUUCAACAACGGAUCUCUUGGCUCUGGCAUCGAUGAAGAACGCAGCGAAAUGCGAUAAGUAAUGUGAAUUGCAGAAUUUAGUGAAUCAUCGAAUCUUUGAACGCACAUUGCGCCCCUUGGUAUUCCGAGGGGCAUGCCUGUCCGAGCGUCAUUACAACCCCUCCAGCCUGGCUGGGUCUUGGGCUUCGCCUCUGGGCGGGCCUUAAAAUCAGUGGCGGCCCCGUCGGGCUCUAAGCGCAGUAACUCUUCUCGCUAUAGGGCCCCGGUGGGUGCUGGCCAGCAACCCCAACCUUUCAAUGGUUGACCUCGGAUCAGGUAGGGAUACCCGCUGAACUUAA
rnacentral:rRNA from 1 species